UUGUUGUUGUUGUUGUUGUUGUUGUUGUUAUUAUUAUUAUUUUACUAACAGAAAAAAACCUGUCAAUGGAUCAUUGAGAUGAAAUUGCUGCUUCAUAAGGAAUAAUAAUAAUAAUAAUAAUAAUAAUAAUAAUAAUAAUAAUAAUGGGACUCAGGGUGGUUCACAUACAUAUAAAAGACAAAAAUUCAAUGCCAUAAUUAAGAUCGCACAAUAUCAAGGGUGGGAAUUAAACAUUAAAAGGCUUAUUACCAUAAAAAUUUAAAUUAAAUAUAAGAGAUACAAACACUUAAAUAAAACAUAAUUACAUCAAUAAAACAGAAUUGCGCAAAAACCUGUAUCCUAGACAGUUAAAAAAUAACCAAACUUCAAAACGUGUCAAGCAUCAAGUUGUAAUUUCAAACAGGCUGUGGCAGCCACAAAGUGAAGAUUGUGCUAUAAUCUUAUGUCACCUCUCAAUUCCCAAAACUGAGAAAAAACUUUAUCUUUUGCUAGCCAACGAACUUCAUGGUGUGUCAGGAUCCUAUACUUUUGUAAUUGUCUAUGACUAAAACCUGUGAGCUUUACUCAUCCAUUCUGACCCUGUGGCAUUAGCAGACUGGGCAUCAAACAUUAAAGAGGCUUGGCCUCACAAACCCUGGAGCAUGAUAAAGAAACAUACCAACACAAGGAGACAGAAAACAUGGGGCUAAUUGGAAUUUAAAGCCUGAACAAUCUAUAUAAUUAUCUACUAAGUUUCUGAAAACAAAACAGCCAUCCAAAAAGCUGGCUCCUAAAUAUAUUGGCACUGGUGGCACAGUGUGUUAAAGUGCUGAACUGCUGAACUUGCGGACCAAAAGGUCCCAGGUUCAAAUCCUGGGAGCGGAAUGAGCGCCUGCUGUUAACCCCAGCUCCUGCCAACCUAGCAGUUCGAAAACAUGCAAAUGUGAGUAGAUCAAUAGGUACCACUCCAGCGGGAAGGUAACGGUGCUCCAUGCAGUCAUGCCGGCCACAUGACCUUGGAGAUGUCUAUGGACAGCGCUGGCUCUUCGGCCUAGAAAUGGAGAUGAACACCAACCCCCAGACUCGGUCACGACUGGACUUUACCUUUAAAUAUAUUGGAACUUUUGUGAUUAAGAGAUUGGCUAAUGCAGUGACUGCUGAUUUGAAUCUUCCUAAAACCUAUAAACAUUUGCAUAUUAUUUUUCAUUUUAGCUUGUUGAAACCUGCAGCGGAGUCCAGUCCACCUCCGCCUUUGAUGAUUGAUGCUGCAGCAGCAUAGCUGCUCCAUUUUGGAGAGGAGAUGGGUUCAUCAGCCUUGAAGCUUUCAUCAUCUGCCUGCCCUGUUUCCCCAAAAAUAAGUCAUCCCCAGAAAAUAAGACCUAGUAGAGGUUUUGCUGAAUUGCUAAAUAUAAGACCUCCCCUGAAAGUAAGACCUAGUAAAGUUUGUGUUUGGAAGCAUGCCCGCUGAACAGAACACCAGAGCAUGCAGGAUCGGUAAAUGUACGUACCAUAGAUUGUUGAACAUGGAAAUAAUGGUAGUAACAAGACAUUCUUGAUAGGAUUCACAGUUUGUCUGGUUAUGCUGGUUUGUGAUGACAACUACUGUACAGUAUAUAAUAAAUGUUCUUUUUUUGUUCAACAAUAAA